rnacentral:rRNA from 1 species
AUACGUAGGUGGCAAGCGUUGUCCGGAAUUACUGGGUGUAAAGGGAGCGCAGGCGGGGGAGCAAGUCAGCUGUGAAAUGCAUGGGCUUAACCGAUGAACUGCAGUUGAAACUGUUCUUCUUGAGUGAAGUAGAGGUUGGCGGAAUUCCGAGUGUAGCGGUGAAAUGCGUAGAUAUUCGGAGGAACACCGGUGGCGAAGGCGGCUAACUGGGCUUUUACUGACGCUGAGGCUCGAAAGUGUGGGGAGCAAACAGGAUUAGAUACCCUGGUAGUCCACACUGUAAACGAUGAUUGCUAGGUGUGGGGGGUCUGACCCCUUCUGUGCCGCAGCUAACGCAAUAAGCAAUCCACCUGGGGAGUACGGCCGCAAGGCUGAAACUCAAAGGAAUUGACGGGG